rnacentral:rRNA from 1 species
CCUACGGGUGGCAGCAGUGGGGAAUCUUGGACAAUGGGCGCAAGCCUGAUCCAGCCAUGCCGCGUGAGUGAUGAAGGCCCUAGGGUCGUAAAGCUCUUUCGCCAGAGAUGAUAAUGACAGUAUCUGGUAAAGAAACCCCGGCUAACUCCGUGCCAGCAGCCGCGGUAAUACGGAGGGGGUUAGCGUUGUUCGGAAUUACUGGGCGUAAAGCGUACGUAGGCGGAUUGGAAAGUUAGAGGUGAAAUCCCGGGGCUCAACCCCGGAACUGCCUUUAAAACUCCCAGUCUAGAGUUCGAGAGAGGUGAGUGGAAUUCCGAGUGUAGAGGUGAAAUUCGUAGAUAUUCGGAGGAACACCAGUGGCGAAGGCGGCUCACUGGCUCGAUACUGACGCUGAGGUACGAAAGUGUGGGGAGCAAACAGGAUUAGAUACCCCAGUAGUC